CCAGUAAUCCGUCUGAGUUCCUUAAAUGACUCGACGGGCGACUUCCGGGAAACCAAAGUUUUUAGGUUCCAGGGGAAGUAUGUUUGCAAAGAUGAAACUUAAAGAAAUUGACGGAAGGGCACCACCAGGAGUGGAGCCUGCGGCUUAAUUUGACUCAACACGGGAAAACUCACCCGGCCCGGACACUGGAAGGAUUGACAGAUUGAGAGCUCUUUCUUGAUUCAGUGGGUGGUGGUGCAUGGCCGUUCUUAGUUGGUGGAGCGAUUUGUCUGGUUAAUUCCGAUAACGAACGAGACUCUAGCCUACUAAAUAGAUCGUCGGCUUACAAACGCUGAUGAGACUUCUUAGAGGGACAGGCGGCGAUUCAGCCGCACGAAACAGAGCAAUAACAGGUCUGUGAUGCCCUUAGAUGUCCGGGGCCGCACGCGCGCUACACUGAAGUGAUCAGCGUGCAUUUUCAGCCUACUCUGCCAAGAGUGGGAAACCCAAUGAACCUUCUUCGUGAUUGGGAUAGGAGAUUGUAAUUAUUCUCCUUGAACGAGGAAUUCCCAGUAAGCGCGAGUCAUAAGCUCGCGUUGAUUACGUCCCUGCCCUUUGUACACACCGCCCGUCGCUACUACCGAUUGAAUGUUUUAGUGAGGUCUUCAGACUGGCCGGCGCAGCUGCUCUCGUAGUAGCAGCGCUGCGUUUGGGAAGAUGCCCAAACUUGAACA
rnacentral:rRNA from 1 species